CUCGCUGAGCAGCUGACGAAAUGUCCAUGCCUGUGUUUCCCGUAUAAACCGCCUUAGGGUGGUACAAUAACUUGCCGUUUCUGAAGCACUCCCACGUGUCCUCAAAGCUGCCUACUCAAAGGAGCAACCAGGAACCAACAGCAGUGGCAUCACCAGGCUCUGGUUUUAUGUAACGCAGUUGGGCGUCUCAUAGCAACCCUGAGACGGGCUGUAUCAGCAUUUCUCUGGGAACCUGCUUUCUCCAGGGUUUAUAAUGAACCCAGCACGGGGCACAAACAAGCCCUCCCUGUCCUUCCCUGAAGACCGCGCCUGCCUUGAACUACUUAUGGGUGUUUAUCUGCAGACUCUGGGUAUGGAUGGAUUCUCAGAGAGGGUUAGUCACCUGGGCAAGAUCACACAGCUAGGACAUAGCAGAGACCCAAAACCAUGACUCCUCACACACCACCUCAACAUCUCAGAAGACAACACCUCUGCCUACAAACAGAUGACUCACCCAGGGCAGAGGAAGUUGGGGACACGGUAAGAUGGCCUGGAAGUCAGACGUGGCAGGGACUUGAGGCCAGGAGGCACCAGCUUCCCAGACCCAAAGUUUGUUUUUCCUGAAGAAGCACGGAGCAGACCCAGAAGGAAAUGAGCUGACAAGACGUGCCCCAGUGCGGAAGACACACCGGAGUCUCCAGCGCAACCACCCAGCUGCCCAAGCAGGAAGCAGGCGCAGCAACCUGGCAUUGACAAACCUCCGCCUGCUUCUCCAAAGAUUCCCAGAGCUCGCAUUUUCCAUUUAUAUGAUUCAAUUAGGAAUCCCGAAAUGUGUAAAUCUUGG